UAUUUUUGGUCAGGUCUAAGAGUUGACAAUUAAAUUAAAUGAGACUAACUACGAAUCUUGAACAAUAUUAUUUCUUCUUUCAAAAAAAAAAAAACAAUAUUAUUUCUCUGCCAUAUUGUCAGUAUCAUUUACCUUUUGAUCUGCCCUCUGUUCUCCGUUCUCUCUCGCUCACUUGUCCCAUUCUGAAAACCCUAAUCGCCAUGGGAGAUUCUGUGGCUCCUCGUCGCUUCUCCGUUCAUCAAGCUCUCGGCGGUGGAUAUGUUUCUGAUGUGCUACUAUGGAAGAAAUGGAGUGUAGGAGUUGUAGUACUAAUCUCAUCAACGGCGUUGUGGUUCCUAUUUGAGCGAGCUGGUUACAACCCAUUAUCUUUUGUGGCCAAUGUUCUAUUGUUACUUGUCGUCAUCCUCUUCUUCUGGGCAAAAUCUGCAUCUCUUCUCAAUAGACCCUUGCCUCCUCUUCCUGAUUUAGAAAUUUCUGAAAACUCUGUUGUGAUGGCUGCUGAUGUACUACGGGUGUGGGCUAAUCAAGCAUUAUUGAUUGCACGAGACAUUGCUAUUGGUAGAAAUUUGAAGUUGUUCUUCCAGGUUGCUUUAGUUUUAUGGGUGACAUCUUAUAUUGGAAGUUUCUUCAAUCUUCUCACUCUUGCCUAUGUUGGGGUUCUAUUUAGUUUUUCAGUUCCAGUGUUGUAUGAUAAGUAUCAGCACCAUAUUGAUGAUAAGCUUUGCGUAACACAUAAGUUGAUUCAGACACAAUACAGAAAAUUUGAUGAAAACGUUCUAAAGAAGAUUCCUAUGUCACUGAAUAAGGAAAAGAAGGUGCAGUAGGUUUAAGAUGCCGUUAUAUGGCAUGGUUGAUCAAACUUGGAUGCUUAUGCUUAAAGAUUGACAUUUAUGACGAUAGCAAUAUGUUCGGCAAAGUAAUAUUAGGACCUUAUAGAUGGGUUUUCAACAUAAAUGAGGCAUUUUGCGAUUCCUUUUUACCCUCUGGUGCAACACCAUCCGUAUUAAAAGAGUAAGGGAGAAUGGUGAUUUACAAGAGUUGACCACAGUAUUAACGUUUCCAAUUUUUUUCUUUCCUGGGGAUCCUUUUGGACUCGUUUUGUCGUAGUUUUUUGGCAUACAGUCGGGCCCUUGAGGCUUAUUCUUUUAAUGUUCAUCUCGAUCUUUGAGAAUGGGGCAGUUAAUUUGAGAUUGUAAGACCUAGAAUUUACUAGUGUUGUGUGUUUUUCAUUGUAGUUGAUCACGUUGGAGUUAAACGAAUCUGCUGAUCUUGCACAAAGUUAUGCAGUAAAAUGAUUGAAAUAUCUUUUGUUUGGAAUA